GGUGUCAGGGGUCGGGGCUAAUUAGAACUGCAGAUUUGGGAACUUGUCUUAAGAUUAACUUGGCUGAUGAACCUGAGUCGUUACAACCUACCCCUCUUAAAAAGAAUCUCGUCCCGAGAUUUGGGUGUAAGGACAACCAGUGGGGGUGCGGUUCUUACCUCCUUGGCUAAAAAGAAAGCCUCUGAAGUGCUUGUUCAGAUACUCCUCCGUUUCCCAUGUUGCUUCAUCCUCCGUGUGGUUACUCCAUAGGAUCUUGUACAUUUUCACCACUUGUCGUCGGGUGCGCCUCUCCUUGUGGUCGAGAACUUUGGCCGGGUACUCAGCAUAGGUCAGGUCGGGCUCGAUUUGAAGUUGCUCCUGUUUCA
rnacentral:lncRNA from 1 species